rnacentral:rRNA from 1 species
UACAGAGGGUGCGAGCGUUAAUCGGAAUUACUGGGCGUAGAGCGCGCGUAGGCGGCUUUGCAAGUCGAGUGUGAAAUCCCCAGGCUUAACCUGGGAACUGCAUUCGAGACUGCAUAGCUAGAGUAUGGGAGAGGGAAGUGGAAUUUCAGGUGUAGCGGUGAAAUGCGUAGAUAUCUGAAGGAGCAUCAGUGGCGAAAGCGACUUCCUGGACCAAUACUGACGCUCAUGUGCGAAAGCGUGGGGAGCAAACAGG